rnacentral:rRNA from 1 species
CUACGGGCUGCAGCAGUGGGGAAUAUUGCACAAUGGAGGAAACUCUGAUGCAGCAACGCCGCGUGGAGGAUGACACUUUUCGGAGCGUAAACUCCUUUUAUAUAGGAAGAAGAUGACGGUACUAUAUGAAUAAGCGCCGGCUAACUCCGUGCCAGCAGCCGCGGUAAUACGGAGGGCGCAAGCGUUACUCGGAAUCACUGGGCGUAAAGAGCGUGUAGGCGGAUUAAAAAGUCAGAAGUGAAAUCCUAUAGCUUAACUAUAGAACUGCUUCUGAAACUCUUAAUCUAGAAUAUGGGAGAGGUAGAUGGAAUUUCUAGUGUAGGGGUAAAAUCCGUAGAGAUCAGAAGGAAUACUGAUUGCGAAGGCGAUCUACUAGAACAUUAUUGACGCUGAGACGCGAAAGCGUGGGGAGCAAACAGGAUUAGAUACCCCCGUAGUC